rnacentral:lncRNA from 10 species
GAUAGCUUCUUUAACAUGAAUGUAAUUCUAACAGUAAAAAAUUUCUAUAUGGAAUAUGUUUUGUAGUCCUAAAUUGAUAUUUUAUAUCAUUUUUCAGUGAACAAGUAGUUGUUUACAGGUGUCUGUGCAUAUGUCUCAAGUUUUUCUAACUAAAAUAUUAAUAGUUAAGUCUAAAAAUAUGAAUUAUACGUGGGGCUUGUCAUUCUGACAUUUAAUACUUCAGCGUGGUGAUAAUGGUGAUAUAAUAUACUGUUUGAAAUUGUAACACAUGAGUUAAAAUCAAAAGAUUGAUAAGUACAUAUUUGUAUAUUGCUACAUGACAAAAAUCUAGGAAGAAUAUGAUUCACAUGAAAAUUCUUUGGAAGGACAUGACAGACUUUUAACAGUCCUGUAUAGUGAAAGGAGAAUAGAACGACUACUUCUACUUUCUGUAUCUGAAAUUUUCAAAAGCUAUUUCAAAAUGAACAUUUAAACAACAGGAAAUUUUAGAGACAACCACUUUGUGCCUGUCUUCAUCCUUGACAUUCAACAUCCUAGGAACAAUGGGCUGUUGUAUUCAACUUCUUAUUCCCAACAGCCAUUAUGAAUGGUUUUUGAUUGAUCUCACAAAGAGCAUGUGCUUUAGACAUUAAUGCAGCGACUACCAUGAAACAGAGUAUUGGAUUACCUAAGGAAAGAAGCAGAGGAUGGAAUUUGAGGCAAUCAGGAUGAGUGAAAAAUUGAUUUGCAGCUGACCUGCAAAUGGAAUCAUCAGGAACAUCCCUUUCUCAUGGAGUCCCUUAAUUUACAAGUUAACUGCAAACAUAGGAGAUGAUAGUUCCAAGAAGGAACAUUUUAUCGUCUUUGUUUUUAAUCUCAAGAAUGGUACCUACCAUCAGUGAAUGACCUGUUGCAGUGCUUUCAUUGAAGUGUUCUUCGUUCCCUCAGCAAUAUGAUUGUAAGGGCAGUUGAGUGCUAACUUGACUGGGAGAGGGGCGGUUUGGUUAGACAGGACUUGAUAUAUUCUGUUUUUCAUAAGCUUGAUGUUUUUUUCUGGCAGCUACUUGACAUUCAGAUCUGAUUGGUUACAUAUUGCUAUGUAAUAAAUUAUCCUGAAACAGGGGCAUAAACAAUAUUGUUAUGUCCAUGGAUUCUGUUGGUCUGACCAUGCCCAGGACAGUUUAGGAAUUGUAUCCUCUCCAAAGUUUCAUUGUAGCUUCUGUGUUUUUAGUAUAGUUACUAUUUCUUUCUCAUCAAAUAGACUGAACUCCUUUUGUUAUUAUCAUUUAAAUAUUUAGGCAUUGUUGUCAUGUAUAUUGUGCAUAAAUGCAUGUAUACUGCAGGUAAUAAUUCUGUAUGUGAACAAGUGACCUAGAGGUAAAGGAAUCCAAAUACAGAGACGUGUGGAUAAUGUGGGAGAGGUCAGUUUUUCACAAGACAUAGGAAAGAGGCUGGGCGCGGUGGCUCCUGCCUGUAAUCCCAGCACGAGGCCGAGGUGGGUGUGUCGGUCACUUGAGGUCAAGAGUUCAAGAACAGCCUGACCAACAUGGUGAAACCCCGUCUCUACUAAGAAUACAAAAUUAGCUGGGUGUGGUAGUGUAAUCCCAGCUACUUGGGAGGCUGAGGCAGGAGAAUCGCUUGAACCCGGGAGGUGAAGAUUGCAGUGAGCCAAGAUCACACCAUUGCACUCCAGCCUGGGCAACAAGAGUGAAACUCCAUCUCAAGAAAAACAAACAACAACAACAACAAAAAAGAAGGAAAGAGCUAACAUCUGAC